CCUACGGGAGGCAGCAGUAGGGAAUCUUUCACAAUGGGCGAAAGCCUGAUGGAGCAACGCCGCGUGCAGGAUGAAGGCCUUCGGGUUGUAAACUGCUUUUAUAAGCGAGAAAUAUGAUGGUAACUUAUGAAUAAGGAUCGGCUAACUACGUGCCAGCAGCCGCGGUCAUACGUAGGAUCCGAGCAUUAUCCGGAGUGACUGGGUGUAAAGAGUUGCGUAGGUUGCAUAAUAAGUAGCUAGUGAAAUCUGGUGGCUCAACCAUUCAGACUAUUAGCUAAACUGUUAAGCUCGAGACCGUUAGGAGUAACUGGAAUUUCUAGUGUAGGAGUGAAAUCCGUAGAUAUUAGAAGGAACACCAAUAGCGUAGGCAGGUUGCUGGGACGGUUCUGACACUAAGGCACGAAAGCGUAGGGAGCAAACGGGAUUAGAUACCCGUGUAGUC
rnacentral:rRNA from 1 species